rnacentral:lncRNA from 1 species
AGAAGCAGCAGUAAAUCUCCAAGGUGAUGUAUUCUCAGUCAACUCCAAUUAAAGCAAAGAUUAGUUUAUACAAUGGGAAUAAAAUGCGAGUUGAAUUCUUCUUAUUCCAGCAUCUAUUAUGGGCCCAUACACCGCUAAAGGUACAAAAUUCCCUAUCGUUGCUUUCAAUUUUUGCACAGGUCCAACCCCAAAAAGUAAAAGAGACACGGUGAAUCAAAACCAACCAAAAAAUAUUUGGCAGUGCAAUUUGGGCCCACUCAGUUGCCAAGCCUAAUGAGCCCAUCAAAUCAUCAUGCUUUAACGAUGGAGAUUGGCUUUACCACUUUGCAAAUUCUCAAGUCCAUAUUAGUUUAGUUCUCAACUCGUUUCUCUUUAACUUGCGGAAAGAAACAGAAAAUAGUAUAUUAACUGGCAGUAAAAAUUUGAAAACAUGAGAUUAUUCAACGGGUUCGUGUUUCUCAGAUUGUAGAGCAACAUGUCAUUGUGAAUCAACUGGCUCAGAACAGAAAAUUCAUUAAAUAGUUUUGAAAAUUCUACAAAAUCAAGAACUAUCUUUUAAGACAUGAAAAGUCUGACAAAAUCUAUCUUCCGAAGAUAAAAGUAUCUGGACAUCGAUCAACGGUUCUCGAAACAUUCCUCUUAUCGAGUAAAAACUGACGAUAAGUUUUUUCGAUAACACAAGUUGGAACAAAUUUGGCAUGACCAAAUUUCAAGCAAACUAAUAACAAAUGAGAGCUGGGAUCCUGCAAGCGGAGGCACAAACUUAAAAGCAAAAUGAUGUUUAACUGAUCAGAAAAAAUCACUAGUACAUUGAAAAUAUUUCCUCAAAUCAUGUCGAGCUGUGUAACUCGAGUGAAUCAGGUUUAUGCAAAACAAAAUUUCCAUCCAAAACUAAAUUGUUCAGGGGGUUCUUGCUCCCCCCAAAAGAGUGAAUUAUUAAAGAAGACUCCUCUGCCGGAAAAAUUCUCUGAGUAUCAGAUUUUCAUCAAUAUCUAAAGCUAAAAAAACCAAAGGGAAUAUGCCUUAGGCACCGCCAGAGCCAUAUUUCUUCCCAAAGACAAUUAACUGCAAUUUGUCAUAACCAGCAAGCACACCGGCACCUGCAACAGCUCGGAGGAUGUUUGCUCCAGCACCCUUGAAGAGAGACUUAGCACCCUCAUUCUUCAGGAUCUGAGAGAAUGCAUCAAGAGAGCUCUUGUACUUGACAGCCUCACCAGAUGUCAUCAUCAUCCUUCUACGGACAGUGUCAAUUGGGUAGGAAGCAAGACCAGCACCAUUAGUGAUGAGCCACCCAAGGGCGAAGCUAGCAAAGAAACUAUCCUGAAAUAACCAACACCAGAAAAUAUGUCAAGAACAUGAAAAGAUAAGGUUGAUUAUUCCAUUAAUCAAAACAGUAUAAAUGCUUAAGAUUGCCCCCACUGUGUAAUUCCAUCCCACUAAUUUUACACAAACGAUGAAUCAAAAUCUAAAACAUUCUACAUGAAAACCAACUUGCUUGCAUCCACUGACUUAAGACUUCCUAGAACAAAACACAAGAAUCUAGAUCACCACUCAACUAACAUUGAAAAUGAAAACAUCACUCAGUCUCAAAGGAAGGCAAAAGAUGCAUAACUUGAUUAAAACAAGAAGUGUGUAACAUCCGUUCUAAACAACAACUUUGGAAAAUGAUCGAAAAGUCAAACAGGACAAAAAAAAGGUUUGGAAAUCAUAACAAAUCACAUCCAAGGUACUUGCCUGCAAUAAUUAUUGCUAUAAAAGAAAAAUAAGUAGGUUAAAGGGGCACCACAUGAAUUUCAACAUGCAAAUAUUGCUGCACUGAAACCAUGAUUAAUACCCAUUGCCAAUGUACAAGCAAACAGAAAUUGCAAUAAUAAAAUAUAAUGUAUAAAUAUAAGCCUAUUCUCUACCAAAUAAUCACAUAAAUCAAUAAACAAAACAUAUCAAAUUAAUGUACCCACCUGCAACUUUCCAGUCAAGACCACUGGCUUCAGAGAAUCAUACAUGCCAAAGUAAAGACCACGGUACACAAUGAUUCCAACACAUGAAAUGUUGAAACCACGGUAAAGCCCAGCAAUGCCAUCAGAUUUCAAUGUCUUUCUGUAGACAUCAACCAGCCCAUUGAAUUGCCUCUCUCCUCCCUUCUUCGCAGCUUUGGCAUCAUUGGCCAGACGGGUACGAGCAUAGUCCAAGGAGUAAACAAAGAGAAGGGAUGAAGCACCAGCAGCACCUCCUGAUCCCAAAUUACCAGCAAACCAUUUCCAGUAACCAUCCCUGUCUUUCUUGAAGUUGAAGAGCCUCUUGAAGUAAUCCUUGAAUGCAAAGUUCAGGGCCUGAUACAAAAUUUGAGAUAAAUAUGAGCAUAAAAUUAGUCAGGAAACAUACAUUAAAUAAAUAGUUUUAACAAAAGGUUACCUGAGUGGGGAAGUAACGGAUAACAUUAGCGGUAUUUCCUCUCCACAAAGCAACAAUACCCUCAUCCUUCAUUGUACGCUUAAAACAAUCACCAAUGCCCUUGUAGGGUUCAGAUAGCCUACCACUCUUGAUCAUCUCAUCUUGGUUUUGAAUCAAAAGCUUAACACGCUCAAUGGGAGCAGCAGCUGUUUUGGACACAGCAGCAGAAACUCCACCCAUAAGGAAAUCAAUAGCAAAGCCUGCAAAGCCUUUCUCAGCUGGGGCUUGGACGCAAAUAGCAGAUGCAGUUGACGGCACCAUAGAUAGAUCGGUUGUAGCUGCACUGACUAUGGGGUAUUGGAAUGCAGCAUUGGAGUAGUUCCCAUAAGCACCACGUCUUUGGUACAUGGUUGGCCUUUCAUAAUCCUGAAUAUUUUGGGAAAGGCUGGAAUGAAGGAGCUGUCCAGCUACCUUCUGCAUGACGGAAGGAUGUUGAACCUGAUCAAUCAUUGUGACUUUUCCUGCAGAAUUGAAACAAACUUUCAUUCAAAAAUUGGGUUGAUACAAUGUAGAAACCUACGCAUAUCAAUUCAUAACACACCAACAAGCAAUCGUAAAUGUGCUAAAAUAGUUCAUAAGCGGAACAAAAGACCUCUUAGCAAUUACAAAAAGUUAUCAAGAAUGUUAAUUGGAGUAAAAUAUCAGAGUGAACAAGAACCCGUUAAGCAAUCAUUGAAAGAUACAUUAUCACGAUUUUCAAAUAAGCUCUCAAAUGUUGACUGGGGAAUAAUAUAAAAGGUAAUGUAAAAUUUCAAAAAGGUGUGUCUAGUUGUUGUGCUAACAAUAACCUACGAUGAUCUAGAAACCAGCACUUGUGAUAUGGGAAACAAAUACAUAUCAUCUAUCUAAUUUUAUGACUGAAUCCUCCCAAGUUAAAAGUAGCACUAUUGCCUACGACGUAAGGAAAAGCAACAUCCGAACAGCAAACUUAUCACGACAAGAAAACAACAGAAGCAUAAACAGAUCUGAAUCCUCCAUACAGUAAGACCGCAUGAUUGUGAUCUGAACAUAACAAAAACUUGAGAAACUAUGAAUAUUGAGAAAAUUCUAAAUGUAGCACUCAGCAUAUUUGAUUAGUCACGCUAACACUCACAAAAACUUCCCGAUCAAAUAUUGUGUAAAAUAGAUCUAGACAAGUAUAUAACUAAUUAAUUAACAAAUUUAAAGACAAUCUGUGACAAAUUUUGGAAAAAAAAGAAAGAAUGAAACACAAAAAACACAAAAUGACAAAAUAAUAAAAAUCAUAGAACCACAUACAAGAGAUAACAAUAGAUCUAUUUAAUCUCAUUGACUAAUAAUAAGAUCUGAACAAGCUUACAAAUAAAAAUUACGCUCAACUAAAUUUCAGCAAAGACAAAGAUCUAACAAACUAUUAAGCAUGUCAUUCACGCGCGUUUCAAAGAAGCAUUAAAAAAAAAACAUUAGCAGAUCUGAAGCAGAAACGAGUCGACAACCAAGUAAAAUAACAGAUCUGAUAGAAUGAGAUCGGACGGUGGAGAGUGAUUAAUGUGUUUACCUUUGAAAAAUGACAGAUUGGUGUCCGCCUCCCGCUCUGCUUAGAAAGGAAAGGCGUGCGAAAAGCGAGAGAAGCAGAGAUAUUUUGCUAUUUUGUGGUUGGAGGCCGGCGUGCUUUGAAAUGAGCAAUACUCGCUUUUUAUUGCCGCUACAUGUGCGGUUUUGCAUGCUUUCACGCGUGUGAGGGUGAGAGGGGGGGUUAUUCGUUGUAUCCGGCGGGCUACGUGCGGGAUUUCUGGAGCGUUGAAUUUGAAUAUUAGAUGCGUCUAUUACCGUCUAUCUUCGUUCUCAUUUGUAGGCCUUGACCUAAGUGAAAAUUUUGAAAAGUUGACUUGUUGAUUAAAAAGCAGCUUGACGGUGACGUUUUGAUGCAAUUUUGCUUGUGAUCAUUUGCGCGGUGGCUAAUAGAUAUCCCAUGUGGGUGAGCUAAGACUUUUCUUUUUUCCGCCUUUUUUUAGAAGGUGAGCUACAGUACUUAAUUUAGACCUAGCAAAAUUUGUGAGCGCUUAAUUAUUUGAUACGAAUACAACAUAAAUAAAUAUUAUUAAAUUUGAUAAAUUUAUUAAAUAAGUAGAGUUUGAGUCGACGCGAUUUGUUCUGAUGUCUGGUUAGAGUUAAGGUUAUUGAUCUAUUUGUUUGAUUAAUGACAAGAUUAUAUUUUGUAUUCUAAAUUAAUUUGUAAGUUCUUGUCAUCAAAACUCAUAUAUUAGACAUGAUUUUUUUUUAUAAGGAUAAACAUAUACAUAGUUUUUCAUUUAUAAAAUUUUAUUUAAUUUUAAAAUUACAAUUGUAUAAAUGUAUAAAAUAUUAGUAGACAUGUUUGUUCUAUAAUAUUGAUAUAUAAGCUUGAUUUGUCAAUUUUGUGUCUAAAAAGGAGAAAAGUGGAAAUUGAAACUUAAUUCAGGAAUCAGGCUGAUUGAGGAGAUCCGAUUACUCUUCAGCCUCGUUUUGUUAUUGUUUUAUUUAUUUAUUUAUUUAUUUUUAAUUGCAACAUUACAAAUCUUCUAAUGCCUCAUAUUAUAAAAUCUAUUAAAACUUUCUAAAAUAAUUAUAAUAUACCUUUUUAGAUUAUUAAUUUUAUACAAAACAAUUUCAAUAUAAGCUCUUAGAAAUACUCAAUUAAAACUUAAGAAACCAAAGACUAAGUGUGUGUUUGGUAAUGUUUUUCAAAUUCUAUUUUCUGUUUUUUGAAUUCAGAAAACACCAAGUACGUGUCUGGCAGAUUGUUUCUGAAAAUAUUUUUAAAAAUAUAAAAUUCAUUAUAAACUUUUAACAAAGGAAAUAAGAAAACAACUUUUUCUUAGUUUCCUUAUUUCCCAGUACAGUAUUAAAUUUCAAAAUGAACAACUUCAUCAUCUCUCAAAAUAAUAAUAAUAUCAACAACAAGUUGUUGUCGUCGUUAUCACCAUCUAAAAAAUCAAUUUCCUCAAAAUAAUCUUUUCUUUUUACAAACAUUAUGAUAUUUAUGUUUUUAUAUAUUGAUUAAAUCAAAUAGGUAGAUUUUAUCAUUUUUCUUUAAACAAAAAAAUAAGAUCACCCAAUUUAUUCUUAAAAAAAUAAUAAUCAAAUUAAUUAAAUAAUAAAAAUGAUUAUACAUUACUUAAUAUGAAAAUUAUUCUGAUAAUAAUUCUUUAAGAAUAUUCCUUCCGAACGUGUUUUUCUUUUUCUCAUUUUCAAGAUUAUUUUUGAAAAUGAUACUGUACACAUUUUUAAAAUUUUAAAAAUAUUAUUUUCAUUCUCAUUUUUAUUUUAUGAAAACAACAGUAAGAAAAAAAAUACCAAAUGGACCCUAAGACUCUAAAGAGUCUAAAGAAAAUAAACUCUCAUUGUGACUGAUGAAACUCAAAUGUACAGGAGGUGCAAGCCAAUCUGCUCAAGAAGCUUUGGCAAAUUAGUUACAUCAUACUUGAUUGUUACCCAAUGUGAAUAUUCGACUCUUUCUCACAUCAAUGGACAAGAAAAUAGUAUACCACGAGGUUAUGGGUGAUUAUAGUGUUUAAAUUAUAUCCUGAACAUUAAAAAUUAUAUUAUAAUUUAAAAUUUUGACAUUGGAUUAUCUAUCAAAACACAUUGGUAUCUAACUAUUAUUACACAUACAAAUGCAAAUAAACAAUAUUAUAUUUUAAAAGUAUGUUUGAAAAUGAAAUGCUCUGAGUGCAAAUCCACAUUUGUUAUAAAAUUGAAUGAUCAUUGGUUAAAUAUAGGUAGAUGAUUAGUGGCUAAAAUAAUUUAUUAUUGAGGAGGGAUUUUUACUUCACCACAUUUUUUAAAUUUUAAAGUGGGUUUGGGUUAGAUAACUGGGUAUGGCAUGGUUUGACAAUAGUUCACACAAAUAAAAAAAAGGUUUUCUCAAAUAUUAAGGGAUUGAGUUAACUAUUCGAUCAAAUAAUAUCGAGCAUUUUUCUUACCUCUUCUUGAGAAAUAAGUGGGCUGUUUAUUUGUAAAAUUAUGACAAUUUUACAUGUGACAAUCCCACCAAGAUAUCUUUGUUAGUUCGAAGAAUCAAAUUUUAUGAGGAAUAUAGCGCGAGAUAAUUGAAUUUGGUUAGAUAUUAUAUAAUUGGUAAAUAAGGAUUGAUUUUUUGCCAAAGUACCAAUUUUUUUAGGAACAUAGCAAGAGAGAAUUGGAAUAUAUUGUCAAUCAUUCAAAAAAGAGAAAAGUACAAAUUUUUUAGGAAUAUAACUAAGAAUUGGAUUUGAUUAGAUAGUCCAUGGUUGGUAAACAAAGAUCCAUUUUUUUUUUUUUACUAAAGUAUGGACAAUAAAAAAAAGAUGGAGAUGCGGGGGAUCGAACCCGUGCCUCUCGCAUGCAAAGCGAGCGCUCUACCAUUUGAGCUACAUCCCCCUUUGAAAUUGAGUUUAAUGCUUAUUUUAUUAGUUAAUGUAGUUCUCCCACUAACGAAUUCUUUUGAAUCGUGUGUUCACCAGUUAUAUAGAAUGAAUGUUGGGCUUCAAUUUGAAGAAAGUCAUCCUUUAUUACCUAAUUGUCAGCCGUUGAUGUUAAUAUGUGAAGAAAAUAACAUUCUUAGUUUGCAGAUUUAAUAGUUUGUUAACUUCACUCAUACAUGGAAAACGCCAUAAUGAUUGUUGUGUGAGACUUGAAUCAGUCCCUUACUCAACAAGUAUCUAUAAAUAAAUACUCAACAAGGUUUGAGCGGUGCCCUCUUCGCUAUUUGUUGAUUCCAAUCUUGAUUGGGUCCAUAUGAAUCAGCUAUUCGACUACAAGUUGGAGUUUGGACCCAUUGAAAUGACAAAAUGAACCGUCCAAGUCCCAACGAGAAAAUUUUCUAUGAAUGUCAAAGGGCCAGGGAGCAAGAUAUGUAGGAUGAUUUGGGUAAUUAAUUAACCGUUGUUUCAGUAAUUACAACUUGGUACAGCACUUCAAUUUGCAUAUGAAAUAUAAUCAAAAUUAGAGGUAAUCACCUCUCAUGCACUCUUUCUCGAUGUUGUAUCAAUGUGAGGAUUGAGUGUAAAGUAAAAAGUGCAUCUAAUUUACUCACACAUAGCUUCAGGAAAGAAGAACAAAUUAAAGAAGUGUUCGGCACUGUAUCUCGUACGACUUGUCUGUUAAAUUUAUGAGAUUUUGUAAUUAAAUUAGUUUAAUUUUGUUCCCCACCAUGGGUUACUUAGAACUAAAAUAGCAGUCAAACUAACCAAAAAGAUUAAUAGUAUAAUCAAUAGCAAGAUGAGAAUAAUUGGGAAUUCGACGUGAUCGACCGAGACCAUCAAAUUAACGAGCUGGCAUGCACGACCUCAACACUGUCAGUCAUACCAAUAAUUUGUAUGUAUUUUCUCAAGUGCACGCUUUAGUUGUUGUGCUUCACAAAAUUUUAAUUUACAAGUAGUUGUUAGUUGUUACAGUCAUACUAAAAAAUUAAAUAUAUGCAUAUUUCGAAUGAGAGUAUUUAGAAUCUCCAGAUAGUUUUUAUAUGUGCCACCGUUUCAGUUUUCAUUCUUUGAGAAAGGUAUUGUUAAUGAUUUGUAUAAAGAAAUUAGAGGGUAAUUAUUCAUCGAUCACUCGUCUUUUAUUAUGUUUUCUUUAAAAAUAUAUAAUUUUUUUUCUUUAUAGAAUUCUGUCUAAAAUUUAUAAAAUGUAUCAUUAUUCUAUUACUUUCUAAACUCUGCAUGAGAUUUUAACUGAAUAUUAGUAAAUAACUAUUUUACCUCUUUAUGUAAAAUUACUAUUGCAUCCCUAGGUAAAUGAUAAAAAAUUAGAUGAUUUCGAUUAUUCUUUGCAACUUAGAUAUUAAAUAAUAAAUGAAACAAAAUAGUUAAAAGAAUUAAAAUCCCAACCUAAUCCCAAAAUCAAUCCAAUAACCAAAUUAAAAACAAAUGCUAAACAAAAAAAUUAAAAGAAUUCAAGCAAAGCAAUAGAGAGAGAGAGAAAAAAAAAAGGCAUCACUGCAGUAAGACACAACGCUAAUCUUUAAUCUUAUUCAAAACAAAACCAGCAUUCUAGCUCAGUCUCUCUCUCUCUCUCUAUUUUUUUAUUAUCAGUCUCUUUUUGUUCUCGAACAAAAAUUAUAUAUCUUUACUUUUUUUUAACAAGAAAAAAAAAUUGUAGCCUCUUCUCUUGCCUCUCACUCAUUGCUGACUUCAACCACGAUCAGCCACCAUGGCAUAGCGCCACAUCGUUGGAUGCUAGAUUUGAUAAGAUCUAGCACCUUCAUUCCUCACUCUGCCAUGCCUUACCACACCCCGCCACUGCCACCAGCUGAUGUUUGCCAACCAUGCAUCUUUUUAUUAUUAUUUGAUUGUAAAUUAAAUAAAUUUUAAUUUUGGUAGUGUGUGGUUGUUGAGUCAAGGUUAGGGCUGAGCACUGUUCUUUCAAUUGAAUUAAAGGAUUUUCACUUUGAUAAAUUGUGGCAUUUUUUUUGUUUGAUUUAGAGAUUAUUUUUAUUUGUUAAAAUUAAAUGAGAAUUCUAUCUUUUUGACGUCAUUAAAUUUUUAACACAAUUUAGACAAUAGUGGAUGAUUGAAAAUGAUUUCCACUGAAGGUGGAAUAGUACCAAAAAAAAGAUUUAUAUAUUUUGAAAAAUGUCCUAAAAAAGGGUGAUUCGUACAAUUGUCCGAGAUUGAAUUAUAGUCCGAUUAUGUUGGAACUGCUCCACGAUGGAACGCUCAUUUAUAACCACACGAUUAAAGUAAUAAUGUGUUUUUUACUAUUUAUUACUUUGAGUGUGUGGCUGUGAUUCGCGCUCUAACAUAGCCAUGACCAUUGAAUUAUUUUCAAUUGUGUACUUUUCAAAGAAUUAUAUUGCCUUCCUCGAUCGCGGCUAGUUGAUCAAUUACCGCCCCUUUAGGCAUAGAGCGGAAUUCAAAAGAGAAGUUGGGCUUUUAACAUUCUACUUGCCCACGCCCAAUAUAACCGGCCGUCAAUUGUAUUUUCCAUUAGUAGCGUGAUCAGUAAUGCACAUCAAUAUUUUCCGGCUGAUGUCAAGGCAAAGCAAGUCAUUAAUUAUUCCUUAAUUGCCAUACAUAUACCUAUGUACAUACACACACACACAUGAGAGAUUCUAAAAUACCUUUGUUAUACUACACCCUUAUGGCAUAUAUGCAUAUAUGCAAGUCAUUUCACACUCGAUACGCGGGAUUUGUCUAUUCUUGAUGUCUAUAUGCCUCAGACUUCGACUGUUAAUUAAUUAAUUGUUACAUUGAAGAAAUUAAAAUAACAUUAAUUUUCUUUCUCAGCGUUGCAGAUCGAUGUUUGUUGUUUUGUUAACUUCAUAUAUGAAAAACAUCAUAAUGCAUGAAUUGAACGUUAAUAUAUAUGCUCUUAAUUUGUACUAUUGUGUGAUACAUCUGAAUCAUAAUUUUUAUAUAUUCCGAUGUAGAGUCUUUCGUCUUAUAUUUAAUGGAAUAUAAUAGAAACAAAUUCUUACACGAGAAAGGGCUUUACGGUUACAUCUCUUUCAGUUAUAAUUCCAAUUAAAGCUCAGACUUGAGACUAAUCAACUGGAAUUCAAGUUGUCUUGAUCAUCCUUUCAUGGGUCCUCAUUGGGAGGUCAACUUUCUGCCACACUAUCCCUCUACUAAGUAUCUUAAGUGCUAACGACUUGAAGUAAUAAGCUAAUUUUUUGUCUUCUUUGUAGGGACUAUAGUCGUUGGCAAAAUGAUGUUUUUUUUUCUGAGGCAAAAUGAUAUGUUAAUGUUAGCCUUCUUAACCAUCCAUUUACUGCACCCCUAUGUCUUCAUGUGUUGUGAAUUUUGAUGGAGAGAAAUUAGAAAAUUGCUGGUGCUGCCACAAGCCAAUUGCAUGCAUUUAAGCUAAGAGCUUGCUAGAAGUUAAUAAAACACCCUACUUAACAGCUAGGCUUAAUUGAACUGAUGAGAUCAAUCAUAGAGACAUCAUCUAUCGAUUAUUAAUUUUGACAAAUUCCUCAGCAAAGUGCAAAAGGUGAUGGUAAAUGAAAUCUAGAAAAAUAAUUUUUUUAAAAAAUUUUAUAAAAUCAGCAGAAGCCAAGAAUUUUUUAUUUUAUUUUAUGCAUACAUGCAUAAGGUUAGAGAACUACCUUGAUUUCAUGUUGAAGAUUUGAAGAAGAUGACUGCAAUCUUUUUUACUGCCACUAUUGAGAUCUACAAAAUAUGGUUGCAAUCUUCUCUGUCAUCUUCAAUUAUCUCUCUCACAUAUGUGGGCAUGUAGAGAACUCUAAUUGUCGAGGUAUGUAGAGAACCUUAAUUAUUGGGCGUGUGGAGAAUCCUAGUUACCGUGCAGGAGAAGGAAAACCUAAAAUUGUAUCUUUUCUUUUUCAAGAAAACUUGUAAAAGUCAUAUUUCUAUUCUAAUUUCCUCUCCUUUAUAUAUGCAUUUAUUAGAGUCAGAGUUUAAAUAGGAAUUGAGCUAGUAGAGGGACUGCAAAUCUAUGAGCUUUCUAACUUCAACUUAAUAGUUAAGACCUAAUGAUCUCAUAACAAACUAAAACUACUAAGUUAAUUUCAGGCUAUUCCACUAAAAAUCCAAAGUUACACUCUAGUACCCAUACAAUUAAAUAGAAACUCAAUUAAUUAAAACUCUUUUCAAUUAAUUUUAGCCUUGCUUUUAGGCCAAUAAUAACCACUUAUUAGAUCAUAUAUCUGAUGCUUAUAAUUAAAGCUAGGUUGAUGCUAAAUGUCAUGUUCCUAUAAUUAUGCAUUUGCCCCUAAGUCAUUAUUUGUUCUAGCUAUCACUUUCAAUAAACCUAUAUUUGUAAAAAAAAAAUUACAAAUAAAUAUUAUUAUUCAGUAAACAAUGUAGUGAAUAAACUGCUGCCACAAAUUUAAAUGAUCAAGUACCACAGUAACUAAGGUAAGCAUCAUUAGUAUAGAUUUCAUCUUUUAAGUAUAUAUGUUUCCUCAAUUCAUAAAAUUACAUCUCCAAUCUAUCGAGGUUUUGACUGUUUAUAUGGAUCUCAAUCCAUGAUAACUCAAACGGCAUAAUACAUGAAUGCAAGUUCAUUACUCACACAGGAUUAAGGUCGAUUAAGCUUAUUAAAGCUUAUAUGAGUUAUGAUUAAUGACAUUCGUUAAACUAGAUCAUUAUCCACCGUAGUCUAGUUCAAAAUAUAUACAUAUUAACUAUUCUACUCGAAAUCUCUACUUCGGUAAUUAAGAUAAAAUCAAAUCACUCAUAAUAGAAGUUGAAAAGUUACAGCCUUGCAUAAUGAAAUACCCAUUUCAUCAAUAGUUGUGAAUAACUUUUUAUUUAUAAAGAACCUAUGAUUUAUAUCUUGUAGUAUUGAUAUCAUAUGCCCAAUACAUAAAUCACAUAUUUUAUAAAUAAGGACUAAUAAUGUACGCUCAAAAUAAAUAACGAAUAUAUAAAUUUUAUGAAAUUCUAAAAUUGUUUAUUUAUCGCAUGGUUUUAGGGUACAAAAUAACAAUAAGUCUAACAAAAGGACGGGAGGGUACAUAUACACUCGCUUAAAUUGAAGUUAUUGAUGAGAUCAUUUACAUUUUAGAGGACCAGGAGAAUGCAGUGGAACAAUGGAAGUGCAUGCGAUAAUAUUGAUAGUUUUGCUGGACAUCUUUUUUGCAGAGUUGAAGGCUUUUGCAGAAUUGAAGGCAACAAUAAUAUCAUAUAUUCCAAUUGCUUAUAUUUUCUGGGUUCUUUUAGAACCGUGCAUGCGUAGCGAUCUCUGUGGACCAUUCGGACCAAUAUAUCUGAUUGUUUCUCAUCCGUCCUUAUUGAUGAAAGAAUACCAAUUGGGCCACCCAGUCAGAAAUGAUCAGAGUACUGUGUAGUUUUAAUUGGUUUUCCCAUGGGUUGGUUAGAAUCAAAAGAAUCAGUGACUCCACAUCCAUUUGGCCCAAAGACUUUAUAAUCUUUGGGCGGGCACGAGAGUGAAUAUUGUGAAUUCAAUGAGAUUGAUUGAGGCGAAGAAAUUACCCAGGGUUUAAGUACGGUGACCUUGAUUUUGAUAAUAUUUUUACAGAUACAUUUACACUAGUAUUAAGUCAAAUCCGAGAAACAGAGUUGAAUUGUAUUAAUCUUAACUUUUUCCUUGUGAAUUCGAAUACUACACGUGCCCACCAAUCCUACCAAUCAAGUUUCUAUUUCCAUCUAAUCGGAUAUAUUUUCUCAAAAAUAUAAAUUCUUUUUGCUCAAAAAAUGUUGCAAAAUAAGAAAGGGAUUUUUCCUGUGGGGAAAUUGACAUUAACGUGCCAUUAAUUAGCCAAGCAGGAUUGCUACUCGGCUACCUAUGAACCUGCAUCUGUAUUACUGUUACUGAUGUUGAGUGGAGGAAUUGCCACUUGCAAGCAAAGUCCGAAGCAAGAUAAGCCCAUUUCUAUCUGGCCAGCCAUUUCAUUUUCAUCUACUCUUGACACUAACUCUAGUGUAGAUAGUAGAGCGAGCCAGCAACUAAAGAAUUCGAACUAAUUUUUGGACCUUUGCCAUGAUUAUGAAUGGGGGUGACGUCGUGUUCGUAUGCGAACAGUGAGUUCCAAUCAUGCUGUUUAUAUAAUAAUGGAAAAUGUAUACAUAUAUCUAUCGAUCAGUUUAUGCUAACUUAUCCCUCUCAUUCGUGUUGUUGCAUUCCAUGCAGCUGGUCACCGGUCACCUUCAUCAUCAUUUUCUCUCGCAUUACCUACUGUUGGCUCCUUAUUCACCCAAUCGCUUUCCAUCUUAUCAAAGUUUGGAUUAUUAACUUAACCAAGUGUACGUGUGAGUUUAAGAACAAUCAUAAAUUUAUGGACGUGUAUGGAGAAAGAGAAAGAGAGAGACAAGUGCUUAUUUCUGCGACAUGGAAAUGGCGGUGGGCCGCGGGAUUUUCGCCAAAUUCAGCUUUAUUGGUCUUAAAAGAAUAUGAAAGAUCCAAGCUGAAAUUCUUUUCUGAAUUGAUCAAAGUGCAUUUACAUAUGACAUGCUUUGUUCUUUUUUAAUAUAAAAAUAUACGUUACAAUUUGGAAAUUUACCAAAAUUGUCUGGAUUGGCUAUGAAUUUGUGAAGUCAAAGAUUUGGAACCAGGAUAAGCGCUAAGUAUCAAAUUAACAAUUAAGAUUUGUUUGAAAUGAGUUUCGAGGGUUUUCAGAAUUAAUUUCUGAUUAUUAAUUUGGUGCUCACCACAAGUUCACCGAGCACCCAAUUCUCAUCCCAUAAUUUGAGCCUUCGGUUUAAAAAUAUCACAAUUUCUAGACCUAAAACAUGUGACACCUAUUUUAAAAGUACAUAUAUAAAAUUAAAAUAAGUCAUAUUUAUUUUAAAUAUUUAGAAAAAAAUUAACUCCACUAGCACAGAAAAGACCUUCAAUAUAUUUCUACAUAAAUAUAUGAAAAUAAUAAUUUAUCACCGUGGUAAUAGGUGGUUCUAAGAGGGUAUUAUGUUGCUUGAGAUUUAACACCACAAAGGAGGGGAUGCAUGCCUUGACUUUUUGCAAUGGGGCUCUUUGUUAACUAGGUAGAAAGAAUUAAUUAAAACAAUUCGGAAACAAACAAUAGUGGUUUGAUUUUUGAGUCCUCAUGGGAAUUCGAAUUUAGGAGGCAGAAUUGUUUGGGAAAGCCAAAAUAGCUCUUGGACAUGGAGACUCUAAAGACUCUCAAGCUCAGUUCCCAAACGCACACUCGUGCAAUCUUGGAAACAUUAAAUUAUGGGACAUGGACUGUGGUCAAAAUAAACUCUUAAAAAAAAUUUGAAAUAGUUAAGAUGUGGGUAAGGGCUAUGGUCAAAAGCAAUUAAAGACUCUUCAUCAAUAACCAUAAAUAACAAAUAAAAUGAAAUAUAUCGCUUCCCUUACGUUUUGUUUAUUUCUUCAAUCAAUACCUACAUUUCGUUGAAGAUUAAAAAAUCACCAUUACCAACCAAAGUUGGUUGGUGUGAGUGGUUCGGCACUCUCACUUCUUAAGAGAGGUCAGGAGUUUAAGCUCCGCUCUCGUAUGGAAUCACUACUUUGGCCAGCACUUUAUCUCUUAUGGGCCGACCCGGUGCGAGCGGGGAUUAGUCUGGGUUGUGCUACGGGCUUAAAGAUACCUCCCAUAAUUGGGGUCCACUUAGGACCACUUCGUGGUUCAGACAAAAAAAAAAAAUCGCCAUUACCACUGAAUGAAUUGAAAGUAUAACAAUUUUAUAUGGUAAAAAUUUGCACCUAGUGGAUUCUUGAUGAACACAUUAAUUUAUUUGGUAUAUUAUAGUGGAAGAUCUUAGAUUUCGGGAAAAAUCUGUAAAUGUUGAUGCAUUCGAUCGUGCCUUAGCGAAGUUCUCUGCAUAUUGAAAACAUGAAUCAUUGAUCUGAAUGAACGUAUGAAUUGUUAAUAACUAGGUUUCAAUUCCCCCAUGAGUUUUGCUUUGUUUAUCGCAAGGAGUGGCUUUGAGCUAAGUUAAACUCUUUGAUUGAAACGAGAGUACAUUUGCUUCUUCAAUAUCUUCAAUAGUCAACAAAGCACCAACGUGGCCUUCAUACAGGACGAGUAGUAAUUACGGUUUGAGUAAAACGAAAAUAUUGUUUCCACUGUAACAAUUUCAUUUUGAGCAAUAAAAAAAUGAGUUUAAAUAUAAAUUAACAAUUUGUUCAUGAUUUAGUUUUAAUUGAGGAAUUGAGAAAAUGAAUGGAAGUUUGAUUAAGAAACCUUAUAAAACUGAAUAUUGAUGCAUCCUUUUCUCUUAUUCAUUCUUGGCAACUACUGAAAAUCCCAUUGAAGGAAACUAACACACUCUGGCGACAAAUUGAAAGCUCGUUAGCUGCUGAGAAUUAAUAUGUGGCUGAGACUGCGCAUUAUAUAACUUUGUGAUCAAUACUAAAAGCUUUGGGCCAAUGAGAAAUUAUUAUUUAUUUUUUGUUAUUGUAGUCACACAAGACACCCCAAUAAUUUGAAUUGUCUCAAACUUUUUUGUCGCUUUGCCUUUGCCUCCAAAAUCUAAAUUGCUAAAAAGUCCAACCCCUUCCGCUUCUUCUGGCUGAAGAGGGUCCCUUCUCUCAAAAUCAGCUAAAAUUUAGAAGCAUCUAGGUGCAAUAGUGAUGUGCCAAAGAAAAUAAUUAAUAAAAGCCGCACUUGCAGGAAUUUUUUUUUUUUUCCUUUUUCCUAUGUUCAUAUAGUUUUCUCUAAUACAUACAUAUGCAAGUUCUAAUAUAUGAAUUUAACAUUAUGAAUAAUGUUAUCUAAUUACAGUGCGAUAAUUUUUAAUUAUAGAUAGACAACAUUAAAUAGUUUCAACGUACGUACGUGCUUUCUCUUUGGUUUUAAUUUUACCUACAAGUUAAUUACUUGCAUCUCAGAGUACCAUAAAUUAUGAGAGAGGCAGGCAUGUAACUUCUGUAUCUAUCAUUAUCCUUGCCGGCUUCACCGCCAACUAGCCACUAGCUUCGCAUUUGCAUUUCGUUUUCAAACUUUUAUUUUUGGUUUUCCACACGGCAAAAGUUUUGAUUUUAUAAAAUAUAAAGGAUCAUGCCGACACAAGCAAUACCACUUAAAUUGUACUAUUCAUUUUUUCAUGUUGAAUUUUGGUUCCACGUGUCGAUUUCGUGUUAAUACUUGAAGCUUCUCCUUGUACUUUGGACAAGGAUUUGAAUUUACGGGGAGCCGCUAGGUGGUAGGCACAAAAUUUCGCUUAAAACAAGAGACACCAAAGACAAUAUGAAUGUCGUUGUCUUGCUACAGCAGCCAGGUGAUUAAGGUAAUGAAUGAGUUAAGAGAUGGGAAUAAGAUUGUGAUGUUUGUUUAUUAGCUAGCAUAAGAACCUUCUAAUUAAAAGCUAAUUAAACAUGCACGACUAAUUAAUGCAAACGAAUUAACUUUAUGCUGACGUGACUUCACAUGAAUUCAAUUCAUCUUCAUGGAUACAUAAGAUAUUUGUAUUCUUUAGCAAGUUUGUGUACAAAGGGUUGCUGCCAUGUAUCAGUAUAAGAGGAUUCGAACUAAGUGAUGAUAUAAAAACUGAAAAACCCUAGUUAUAGUAAAUAAAGUGAAAUGGGUUUGUGAGUUUGUUGACUGAAGCAAGAAAGAUCAAGAAGAUGGAGUGAUGGUGGAAUAGAAACAGUGGAUGCAGGAAGGGAUGUGCAUGAAAAUGGAACAUUGAACACGCGCACCAAAGCAAAUGCCGGAUGGCCUCUACCCUAAAACCUCUUGAGUUACUGGAAGUAAGAUAGCAUUGAUCACAAAAAUAAAAUUUGGAAAAAAAUUCAGAGAAAAAGAAAAAAAGAAUGUUUCUCUCUCUAUCUCUCUCUUUAAUCUUUAUGUAUGUGAUGCAACAAUCUCUUGGGAGACAAGCUGCUGCAGGUCUAAUCUCUGACUUUCUCCUUCGGCUUUUACUUUCUAAUAUUAACCCCUUUCUGUUUGCUGCAGCAGGGGGUAAUUUCUUGACUUUCAACACUCUUUUAUUUUUACCAACCACUAAUGAAUCUGUUCUUUUCCUCUAUCAAAUUUACCCUAAGCUCUCGCUCUCUCUCUCUCUCCCUCUCUCCCUCAACUCAUCCACGCACACAAAAAUGUUUAUGUAUGUGUAUAUAAAUCAUCACUGUGGUCGAUGGUAGCCAAAGUAGUGUAGCUAGCUGAUCUCUCUUCUUUUGUCCUCAUCAGAUUUCAAUAUGACAGAUCCUUAUUCAUCAAAUCUCUUCAAUGGGUGGUUCAAUUUCAAGCCUCUUCAUCCUCACUACUCUCCUAACAUCAUAAGCAACAAGUCUAUCUUUCAAAGCCAAAAUUAUCUUCCUCCUCCUCCUCCUCCUCCUCCUUCACCUCCUCUGAAAGAAGCACUUCCUCUAAUAAACUGCUUAAGCCCUGCUCGGAGACAAGAAGAAGAUCAACAAGAACCUUUCGUUAGUACUGCCAAGGAAGAGGACAAGGUAAACUGUACUAAUGAUGAUGGUGAAGAAACUGUAACUGUGGCACUACACAUAGGGCUCCCUAACCCUAGCAGCAGCUCUGAUCAUGAUUUGGACUCAAUAAGGCUCUCAUCAUCUGCAGAUGUGACGGCAAUAACAGAGGAUAAGAUUAAGGAAGGAGUAGUCAUGAGUUUGGAAAGAUUAAACAAAGGCCAGUACUGGAUUCCUACCGCUUCUCAGAUUCUCAUUGGUCCAACACAAUUCUCAUGUCCUAUUUGCUCCAAGAACUUUAAUCGUUACAACAACUUGCAGGUUUGUACAUAUAGUCUUCUCCCUUUUUCUGAAUUUAAUUUGUACGUCAUCUUUUUAUUAAUUAAUUUUAUACUAACAAGAUACGAAGCUAAUUUGUUUCUCCUACAUAGUUUUAAUUUUUGCACGUUCAUUUCCCGGUUUUAGAUUUGAUACAUGAGCAUGUCAUCUAUAGCUUCAACAGAAACUCAGCUCAAAGCUGGGGCUUCUUGUGUGUGAUAGUUGCAAAAGUUCAUGAGAUGUUCCUCAUAUGCUUUCAAUAUUGCUUUGAAGAUUGUGCAUGCUCACCACCCAUUUCCAUAAUGUUUUAAAGGAAGACUGAUGAAAAUUUUUGGUGCUUCCAGGGUUCAGAUGAUGAUCUUAGAUCAUCAAGAACCUGUACCGUUCUCAAUCUGCACACUCCAGCUCUGCACCCAAUGUUUUUUUUUUUUUUCUUUUAAGUGUUGCACAAUUAAAUUCACAAACACCAAUUCCUCAAGAGUUAAAUUCACAAACCCCAAUUCCUCACGUCUGUUAAACAUAAACCCUGAACUCAGAUGCCUUCGGCUUUGUAUGAUUAGUAGAAAAUAAUCCCAAUCUGACAAACCAAACUUACCUGGAAAUGGUCACAACAAAUUAGGAUUUGACAUUGCUUCGUAUUCGAGAGUACCCAUUACAAACCCUUUGCAAGUCAUGUUCUUAUUGAGAUGCAUUUUAAAGAAACUUAGAACUAUUCAAAGUAGAAUUUUAUACAAUAAGAUGAAUAGUUUAGAGUCUAGGAGGUGUUGUCAGAUAAUCAAAAUGCAUUUCACAAUUAUCAAUGAUCAAAGAAGUUUAAAGUCAAGUUGCUGUAUUAAAAUUUAAUUUAUUUUUUUUCACUACUCUCUAAUCUCUAUAGAUGGGUUUGCUCAGUUUAUGUUCUUUUGAAUGUCCACUAACGUACCUUUUUGUUUCUUCUAUCAAUUUAGGGUUGCUAAAUGCUGUAACAUAUAUACAUAAUUGAGUGUGUCUUUCUCCUUCUCUCUCAAUGUGGCAUAUUGCAAAACUUUUAGCUGCUUUAUUCUAAUAUUCUUAGCUCUGGCAGUCUGGCUAUAUCAUGUGUGCCUCCUCUUUUUGCUCGCUCUCUCUCUCUCUCUCUCAUCAUCAUGGGCUUGUUUGCUUGCUUGCUUCAAUAUUAUUGCAGAUGCACAUGUGGGGCCAUGGAUCUCAGUACAGAAAAGGACCUGACUCUUUAAGAGGAUCCCAGCCAUCAGCCAUGUUAAAACUCCCUUGCUACUGCUGUGCACAAGGAUGUAAGCAUAACAUUGAUCAUCCAAGAGCUAGGCCUCUCAAAGACUUUAGAACUCUCCAAACACAUUACAAGAGAAAGCAUGGGAUCAAACCUUUCAUGUGCAGAAAAUGUGGCAAGCCAUUUGCAGUUAAAGGUGAUUGGAGAACUCAUGAGAAAAAUUGUGGCAGAAUUUGGUAUUGCGUUUGUGGAUCGGAUUUUAAGCACAAAAGGUCUUUAAAAGAUCACAUUAAAGCCUUUGGCCAUGGCCAUGCGGCAUUAGGUAUUGAAUGCUUUGAAGAAGAUGAUGAGCCAGCUUCUGAAAUUGAGCAUGAUGGUGAGUGCUCAGUGUGAUACACACACUCACACAUGCAAUUAAUGGAUUUAAUUAAAGGAAUUAUGCCACCAAUUUUUUCUAUCUUGUGCAUCUUUUGCACUCAAGGCUGAUUAAUUUGUUCCCAUCGUCAUGUAAAGCCUAGUGUAAAUUUGAGGAUGAAGUAGCGAGUGAAGUGUGAAGUUUAAUUAAGGAUUGUCCGUUUGGACAAGUACUAAGUACGUACGAUGAUUUCAAGUAAUUACUGCUUUUUAGUAAAGUGCUUAAUUUUAUGUAGUUACUGGCAAUCGAGUUGUAAAAAAGUGUUCUUUUUUUCCCCCAAAUAUUUGUUGUGAGAGUUACGAAUUAACCAAUUAUUAAUUAAUUAUUAGUGGGAUGAUAAAAUUUUCUAUGGGUUUGUAACCUCUAGAUGGCAUAUUAGAGUGAGCUUCUCAACAACUCCCCCCCCCAUCAAAACCUCCCACCAUAUAUAUGGGUGACGGACCUAAACACUUAUGCAAUACUCUUAUCACUAGACUAUACGUAUUUUAUUAUAUGGAAAAUAUGUCCAAAAAUAGUUUAUUUAACUCUUUCAUAAGAGACUUCAGGCUCACAGAGAAAAAAAUGACCUAAGAGGAGAAACUGGGUUCGCCUCUGUGUGUGUGUAUAGAGAGAGGAUCAGGAGCUCUUUUUUUCAAACAAAUCUUCAAUCAUAAUAAAUCCAGUGGUUAAAAUUAUUAUGGACGUGGAUUUCUUUUUUAAAGAAAAACUAAUAAAAUUUGGCCCCACCAAAAUUUACAUUUACUUCUAUUAUCUUUCUCUCUCUUAUUUUUGCCUAUUUUGAUACUUUUCUUAUUUCUUUCUUUUCUAUAUAUUCUUCUCUCGAUGGUUUCUACAUGGAGAAAUAAUAAGUUCAAGCGUUACCUUCUUAAAUCCAAUUAUGCUCUUAAAAAAAAUAGUGUUGUAUUAUAAAUUAAAGAAUAUGGAAGGAAAAAGAAGUGUUAUUCACAUUAAAAGGUGAAGAAAAGCUUAGAUAUACUGUAUAAUUUUCUUUUUAUUUCUUAUUAAAAAAAUCUUAGCCAUAAAAAGUUUGCAGUCAUGUACACUUGUUUGUGGAGUUAUUAUUAUGUUAAGUAGUUCUUAUUAUUAACACCCCCCUCAAGAGAGAGAGAGAGAGAGAGAUUAAUGCAUAGUUUUGUAUGACUAUACGGGUAUAUUUGUAAGGCAAUAUAAUUUUGUCUUGGGGCUUGAAAUUGGAAUAUUAGAUCAUCCAGGAUUAUUUAAAAAAAAAAUUGUUACUAUUAUACAAAUCAUUUUGGAAGAAGAAGAUCAUGCAGUAAAGAGUGAAAUGUGAUGAAAGGAAUUAAUAAUAUUUAAACUUUAAAAGAAAUUCAUAUAAUCAAUUAAUUUUAACCAUUAGAUUGAUUAUGAUUUGAUGACUAUGGGUCUGUUUUGAAUUGUUUUUAGAAAGUUUAAAAAUGAUUUUGAAAAGCCAAAAGUUAAUUUUGGUGUUCAAUAUCUUUUAAUCUCUCUUAUAUUUAACACAAUUCCAUAUAUAUCAUAAUGUAGAAAUAUUUCGAUCCAAAAUCUUGAAUUUGUUAAAGUCUGAAAAGGCUAUUAAGCCAUAUAGUUAAUAGUAUAAUGGUAUUUAUACUAUUAAACCAUAUUACUUAAUAGCAUUUCUAAAUUUUAAAAAGGUUUAAGAUCUUAAACCAGUACUCUAUCAUCACAUAUAUUAUAGAAAUCCAACCUUAUCCUCAUUAACUUUAAACAUAUUCUUAUUAUUAUUAUAUUGAGAUAAAAAGUUUAAAAUAUAUAUAUAAUUGAUAAUAUAAACUAUUUAUUUUAGUUAUCAUUAUUACAUAUACACAAUUAAAAAUAUUUAUAUAUAUAUUUAUAAAUGUGUAAAUAAAUUUUAUUAAGUUUAGUUCAAUUAUCUAUAUUCUUACCAUAAUUUAACAAUAAUAUUUAUUAAACACAUAUGAUUAUUUUUAAAACUUACAAUAGUUUUAAAGUAAAUUUUACGAAACAUUUAACUGAUCAUUUUCAAAGUUAAUUAUUUUUACAGCAUAAUUAAUAAUAAUUAUUUCAAAAGCUGCUGCUUACCAAACUGCCCCUAAAAUUUUGUAUAAAAAUUAAUGUUAAAAAGAGGGUUCCCCUAUCCCAUCCCAUGUCUAUAUACAAAAUUUUAAACAAAAUCUCAACCCUUAAAUCACAAUCAGUCUAACGGUUAAAGUUAACCAUUGUAUAUGUACAUAAACAAAUACAGUCUCACGAUAAUUUAACACUAAUAUUAAUUAGCGUAUAUUCAUCAACAGCUUUAAACAGAAAUCAAAUAACAAUAAGCUCUUAGAGGGUUUUGUUUAUUAAUAAAGAUCGCAAGGAUAGAUUUAUUUAUUCGACUAAAUUUAAACGAAGACGUAUUCUAUGUCGUUAACUUGUUAUAGGAACUAGGAAGGACUACUGAAAAAUAUUUAAAAAAAUAAUAAAAGAAUAAUUAACAGUAUCUACCCUGCCGCCAGUAGUAAAACUUCAUCUGAUUCUCUCUCUCUCUUCAUGGCACCCCCUCCAACACGUGAACCAAGUCAAUUUUUUAAUUGAUUCCGAAGUAAUUAGAUUUAUUUGAUCUUUGGCACUUAGUUAGCAGGUGGUAGAUUUGUGUUUGAGAGGUCGCAACUUUCAGAAAAUCAACGGAUGAAAUUUAAAGAAGAGAUGCACUUGACAAGUUGAAGAAUACAGUAGAAAAAGAAUCCACAACUAAUCAUGAAGUUAAUCAGUUCUACGCAUAUGGGGUUGUAUCUAGAAAUUCAAAAAAAAAAAGAAAAAAAAUCAGGUCAAAAAGGCACAGCCAGGUUUAAAUUUUAAAAUAUGUAAAAGCUUUGCCACUGUUCAGUUUAGCUUCAAAUACACAUUUUAAAAUGUGAAGGCGAUAGUAAUUCUGUCAUACUGAAAUAUUAAUGGAGUAUUCAAUACUUUUGGAUUCAUUAACCAACCUACAUUUUUGCCCGAGGUGACGUGAUGAAGAAAGGAAGGAAGCCGUGCAUUGACCAGUCUUUCCCUCCUAGUCUUCAUUUUGUUAAUCUUAUGUUUAUUUUAAAGUAACGAUAGAUUUAUUAAAGUUUAGGGUACAAUUUCCAACCACCGAAUUUACCAAGAUAAAUUUUGGUAUGUCAUACAGCAGGAAAAGAAAAAAAAAGUUAUUUUAUUUAUAAUUAAAAAAUGUUUUGAAGAUAAUAAACUGGCCACUUCUUAUUAUGAUUGUUUUUAUCUUCAAGCUCGGUGAUUGGAAAACUUUGUGUAAACAAACUAGUAGUUAGGCCCUGUUUGGUAUGGAGGAAGCUACAGCAAUUGUGAAAAAAAAUAAUUAUAACUAUAAAAUAAAAAUUAUUAAUUUAUAGUAAAUACAAUUUUUAAGUAAUAAUUUUAAUAAAAUUAGUAAUAUAUAAUAGAUUUUUCACCUAACAAGUAUAAAAUCAAAUCAACUUAACUUUUAAGUUACAGCAACUAAUGUUUACUAAAUACUUUAUUGCUGUAACUUUUAAACUAUAUCUGUUCAACUUUAAUCCCAAACAAAACCUUAAUCACAAUAAAAAAAAACCAACCAUCAUGUUAAAAUAAUAAUAAUAAUAAUAAUAAAUAAUAUGCCAAAAUCCAAAGAAAAAUCAGUUAUGCACACAUCUAACUAUUAUCACACUGACAUUUCCUACAAAAUGUGCAAUCAGCCUUGGUAAAGAACCAAUAUUGUUAGGCAUGGAAUGGCCGGAACCCUCUAAAACUAAAUGGUAAGUAGCCAAAAUUUCUCGAUCUUAUCAAGAGGGGGCUAGGAGUGACACAAGAGGAUUGAGAAACCAAUAAGUUUAGGCAAUCAAUGUGUUUUAUGUAUCAUUGAAACAAAUGACAGUCACAUUCCAGCAUGCAUGCAAGUAUUGAAUUACGGCAAAGACACCAGUACUCUUUGUAUGGGAUGAACAUCCAAGGCAUUGUUGAAGGAAGCUUGGUCCCCAAAGUAAACGAAAUUCUGAGAUUUGAGGAAAAGAAACACACAAGAAAAGAGAUAGAUUCAGUUGAAAAUCACAGUUUGAAAGAUCCACACCUGCACACGAAUCAGUAAAACAUAAAGCUUGGAUAGGGAAGACAACUCACCUUUUCCCAGUAAGAACUCCAUAAGCUGAUGUGGCAAAAUAUGAUCUUGAAACCCUAGUAAAAACCUUUCUGUAGUGAGGUAUGACUAUUUGUCCUGCAGGAUAUUUUCGUAUUCGUGUUAGCGCAAAGUCAAAAAGAAAUACAAUCCAGUAAAUAAAAAACCAGAACAGCCAAUCCUUCUUAUGCAACAAGCAUAAUCAAACACUUCUACAUUUUAGUCCAGUGUGUCCUUGGAAGAAAUAGGAAAUUUGCACAAGGCCCCUCACCUAUAGUAAAAAAGUUGCUCUGAAGAAUUGAAACCAGAGCAUGAGAUCUUCCACUUAUAUUCUCUUGGUGCAGUGAAUUUUUAGAAGGUGAAAUGAUUUUAUCAAGGCUAACAAUCUCUGGAGAAUUAACGCUAUUGCUAUGACAAGUUACAAUCUCAAACCAUAUCCCAGCUGGAAAUCUUCUUCGUCUCACCAACCAGAGUACAAUUUUAAUAUAAGGUGUGGCAUGGAUAAUAGAUAUAAUGACUUCGAUCAGCAUGCAGAUAAGGCUGAUGCUUGUGUUCAUCAUGGUGAAGAAAAUAUAGAAAACAGAAGUUGUUGGUAACAGAAGUAGCAGUGGCGUAAAGAGAAGAGAUCCGACAAUAUGUUGCUUCACAGUGUACUCAUAGCUAUCUAGUCUUUGUCGAAGAGGAUUACACUUACGACCCCUGCCAAAAUAAUUCAGCAACUGUAUGAAGAACUUGAAGCAAAGAAACAUCAAAAUCACAGAGACAACUAAAUCUCAAGACAUUUUCCUGUUUUCUACCAAAAAAAAAAAAAAUAUCAAGCACCCAUUAAUUAUGUAAAAGAAGGGCCUAGUCAUACGAGUAGGUUUCAUUUGUAAUUGCAACCUAUAAUGCAGUAAAGUUGAAAUAUGCCCGUCCCACAAAAACAAACAGUCACCAGCCAACCUCUUUCAGAAAUAAUACUACUUCAAAGUACAUAAUAACAAUUUAUGUGAUCAAUAGAUAUGAAGCACUCAUUAGAUCAUGUAAAAAGAAGGGCCUAGUCUUAAUAGUAGGUUUCAUCUGUAAUUGCAACUUGCAAGUGAGAAUCUUAAUGAUUUUAAUCAGAAAAAGUUUUAGUUCAGGCUAACCUGAACAAGCGCCACAAAGCUGCUAAUGCCUGUAUCUGCUGAGAGUACAAAAGUGAUAUCAUCCAAUGGAGGGUUGAAACAUGCAACGUCACUACCACAAUCAUGUCUCUAACCAAGGCAGCAGGUACAGUCAUCCCAAAAAGAAUUCCUAAUAUAGCAAGUCCUUUCACCAAAUAAACCAAGAGGGAAUCAACAAAGAACCAGAGUGUAGACCAUAUUUGGAUGGCAUUAAGGGAAAUCAUGCCAAGAACUCCAGCCAACUCGGUAUUCAACUUGAAACCUGCUGGCACUCCCAUCAACCAUACACAACCUGUACGCAACAGCUCAUUUGUAGUAUCAUUGGCAAAGUCCGAAACCCAUAAGCAGACUGAUUCCGCAUUAAACAACAGUGAGAAACCAAUCAAGUUUCCCAAAAGCAAAUCGACAGCUAAGCUUGACCACAUGGAGUGCUUAUGUAAUGCAGCUUUCUCAGCAUAUUCAACACAUGACUGAGACCUUACAAAAAAUAAAAAAUAAAAUAAAAUAAAUUAUGCUACAAGAAAUAAAAGGGCCUGUUCCAGAAAAUGAAGACAACAAUAGAUCAAAUGUAAUACACUUAAGAUCAUGGUAUCCAGUCCAUCUAGGUUGGACCAAAUAGGCUAACAAUUCAACUGGUUAACCAUGAGCUUUCCGAAUAAGAAAAACAGAGAAAUAAAUUUUAUUUUUUUCUUUUUCUUGGUAGGAAUUACAAGCUCCUUUUGUAAAUGAGAGAAUAGAGAAAUAAACAACAUUUUAAAUGAUUCUAAAUUAAAUAAUCAAAGUAUAUAAUUUCAUUUUCUACCACAAAGGAAAACCUCAUAAAUAAAAAAACUCCAAUAUAUGUUACCGAGAGCCUCUUGUCACCUGGAGUCAUUGUCCUGAAGAAGGAUAGGCCAAAACAAGAUCUGACCACAACGAAUUUGGAUAUUUAUCCAAGCAGUGUUGAAUAAACUUUUUGAUGUAGUGUAUAUCCACGAUUGUGAUCCAAAACCCAGAAGGCUAUGAAGAAACUGAAGAAAAAUAUAGAAUAUAGUGGACAACGAAGCCAUAGACACAGCCAAUAACUGCCACACCAGAGCAAUAAGCCUAAAAACAACACAUGCCAUUAGAAAGUGCACAGGAAACUAGGAUAGUGUAAUCACCAAAGACUAGAGAAAUACAUGCAAAUAAUAGAAAACUUAGUGAAAGGCCUGCUGGAGCCAACAUGUCUCUCAAAGACCAUUUUGGAAGCAGUGGCACUAUUCAUUGCUAGAAUCACUGCAUCCUGAAUUGAGGAAGACAAAAAUACAAAUUUUCAGUCACUAAAGAAUUUUUGAAACAUGGUAUAUAGCACAAAGGGCAAUCUUGCAAACUACUUUACCAAGUCAUUGAGAGGUUGCUUCUGGUGAAGUUCAUCAAUCCACUUGGGUUCCUUGAGAGGAAUUUUCACCUUUUUGAAAGAAUUCCAACAACUCAAGGAGAAAUGGCGUGCACCAUAUGUGGGAGUUUCAUAAAGUAUCACCUAAAAUUUUCAAACAGAAAGGAGAUUUACCACAACUGAAAAAAACAACUUAAACAUAUAUCAAGCAGUAAAGUAAUCAUGACUUAUCUUUAAAAAUUGAAAAAAAAAAAGGGUAAUCAUGACUUACAUACGUGGACAUCGCACUGAGACACCAAUCGCCCGUUCCAGUGAAUGUGAUGCAAUUUGGGAAUACAGUGAAUAUUUCUACCAUGAAUUUCAUAAGGAUCAUAUGCCAUCUCAAUCCAGUGAUUGCUUCCAGUAGCAGCUUGCGUAUGUUUCUCUAGUAAGCCAUCAAGUUUGUGGCACCCACAAUAGUAUCUUCUAUUUCUCUUUCUUAGCAUACCCUCACUGUUUAGUGCACAAGCAAUAUGACAAGUAGAAUACUUUUUUUUAUCAUUAUCUCCCACUCCAAUCCCGAACAACUGAUCAUUAUCGCUGGGACAUGCGGCACACUGACCAAGCAAAGAAAACAUUGACUUAUCCUGUAAAGUUAUAGACAUGCUCCUGUUUGUAUCGCAGAGGAUUUCCUGAUAACAAGAAAUAGUGCACACUGUAAGAUAUAAUCUAGAACUAAAAUCCUUCAUAUAUCCACUUCAAAUGCACGAAAAUAUGCUUCAUUAACUCCAUAAAGCCUUUAACACACAAAAAAUCAGAGCAACCUCCAUUGCAGCUUCAUUACCCCUCCGGACAGACCAAUAUCCAUCAAAAGAGUUUAGCGUAAUCAAACCUCAUCACAACAUCUCCCCAAACUCAAUAACGUGUUACUAAGAAAACAAUAUGAAAGUAAUACAGUGAGAAACAGGAAUAUAAGAAAAUAAUCUGAAAACAUCAAUAGCUCUAAUCCAAUUAAAUCUCUAUGAUACCAUUUCUCCUAGCUCUAACUGAACAUAGUAUACUCACCAAUGUAUCAUAAUAUCAGAGUUCUACAAGUUUCAAAGUGAACAUUGUAUACUCAUCAAUGCUUCAUAAUAUAACGUUACAACAUUGUCCAAUGUUGUUGAACAAACCACUGUCAAAAUCAUCUAAACUUGAUAUGUACUGUGAGAGUUACACAAUUAAAAGAAAUGCAACUAAAAUACUUGGUGCUUGGAGAAUUAGAUGUUCUUUACAAACUUCUAAUUGCCAAAAAAGAUUAAAACAAUUAUUCUUUAUACCUUAAGACUGUAUUGGCAGCCAGAGAAAGAGGAUUCAUCACAAGCGAAUGCCACAACAAUGUCGAGAGAUGCCGAUGCGCAAGAGACGAACCAGCCAAACAAGAAAGUGUACGAUGAAGAAGGCUCAGUUGAUGACAGGUGCUUCGGCCACCAAAUUCUACAUUGUUUUCUCAUUUUUCACCUCAUGAUCAUCUCAUAGAAUCAACUAAUUAUUCGAUCAUCAAUCACUCUCCUAUCCACAAAAGCCAGCACACUAGAUUAAAUUAAAUUAAAUUAUCCGUUAUUUACAAUAUUAUGCAACGUAGGGUAAUAGAUCCAAAACUUUAUUGUUUUCUCCCCGAAAUUUCUCGAGAAACAAAAACAGGAUUGUGAUUAGAAUAAAUUAGCCGUAGUUAAUUAGAUAAUUAAAGUCCAUUGUUAGAAAUAAAGAGAUAAUAAAUAAGUAUACAAAGAAUUAUCAAUCGUAAAAUUUGGACACGGGUAAACAGGUAGAAAGAGAGAGCUCUUACAAGCUGAAGAAAUCGGUGCCAUUACUUCUGGAUUAUUCAGCCAAGAGCGAAAGAAAGCAAAAGGAAAAAUCUGAGACAAAGUGGUGAGUGUUAGCUCGACUCCAUAUCUCUGUACCUCUGUCUGCCAAAUCUCAAAAAUAAAAUUAAUAUAAGAUGAUGGGCUGUGGCAUUUACAGGGGUGGGCGUUUUGGUUUUCGGUUCGCUUUUUACGGAUUUCGGUUCGGUUUACAAUCCGUUCGGGUUUGAUAAUUCAACCCAAACGGUUUGAAAAGCUACUAUGGUUCUGUACGGUUCCGUUUUAAAUUCGGUUUGGGAUCGAUUCGAUUUGAAAUUCGGUUCGGCUUCAGGUUCGGAUUUUCGAUUUCAAUUCCGGUUUAGAUCGUAAGAGGUCGAAUUGUAUUCAUUUUACAUAAAUACAGAAUAUAACACCUAAAACAGCUUUAAUCACACUAUAAAAAUGAAUACAAAUAUAUUCAAUUCAACAACCUUGCAAAGUAUAUGUCAAAAUAUGAGAUUUUCAAUUAUAUUUUAUUCAUAAUCCUCAAUCUUAAACUCAAAUUUGAGAGCAACAUGAAUAUGCAAAAUUUAGAAAGCCAAAUCUCAAAAAGAAGGCAAAAAAAAAAAAACAACUGAUUAGCUAAAAACACUACCAUCACAAGAAUUACAUAAGUAUAAAAUAAAAAAACCUCAUAAAUUUUUCUUUUUUACCGGCAAGAUCAAGUCAACCAUAUGUCUUAAGCCCAAAAUGCUACAAUAAGAAGACUCUCAACCAACAAAGAUACAAAUUUUACACACCCAAAAUAUUCUACAGCAAACUAAGAAUCAGGAAUCAAAAGAAAAAGAAACAAACCCAGAAGAAAGAAAGCCAAGAGAAGCAAGAACGGAAGAAAUAAAAAGGACAAGCCUUUAAAACCGAACCGAACAGUAAACCCGAUCGGGUUAUAUUAGGGGAAAACAAACCUAAAUUACUAGAAACCAAACCCCGUCCCCCUCAAAAUUAAGCGAAGCCUCAUCUCUCUUUGCAAGUAUUCUGCAUUUAGGAAGAUGCUUUCGAUUUUGGGCUUAGAAAAGCCCGGCCCAUAAGCCUCAUCAGUAUUCGUUACUCAAUCAUAAUGUUCCACGUGGACUUCAUCGCUUCCUCUGAAUCAAAAACAAGAGAAGCUGCCUCAUUUCGUCCUUGAAUUGAAUUGAACACGUACAUCAUCAAGUAUUGAUGGCUUUAGCGUACAAUCAUUACUCCAAUCUUGUUCUUUUCAAACAAUCAAACGAAGUAAAAUUCAAGUGUUUCACGAGUAUUAGAUGUCAAAUACAAACGAAAAAACGAUGCUUGAGAUGCAACACUCUUUAUCUUGACAAAGAUAAUUCCCCAACUGCAUGCUCCUUCCACGGCCACACAACUGGUACCAUAUUUCUUACCUCUAAUAUAGCUUUAGCAUUUGGCACCAACUUGCCAAUUGAGAUUCUUUCUUUUCGAUAUUUUCUUUCGGUACUUUACUAAUUAGUGUUUAACUGCAGGGGAGAAAGGGUUGUUUGCCCUGGCGCCACCACACCAAGGGAUUGAUGGGGAGUGGAGCGAUCACUCUGGGGUGAUCGUUUAUAAGUGGAAUGAAAAGGAUGAUAGGCCAAACACUGGAAGUGCUAACUGGAAGAAAAGAUGGAGCUGCUGUGCUGAGUAUGAUAAAAAUGCCCCGCCUUGUCGGACAGGGUGGCAUGUUUCUUACGAUGAUGGCUUCACAUUGUACUAGUCAGUGUUUGAGUUGAAUGUGGACGCCAGAUUGUAAAAUUCAUCUGAAGAAGAAACGAUGACAUGUUUUCUUACUAGUGUAGCAUCUUGCAUAUAUUUCUUGCUAUCUAUGCAUCUCAGAUUGAUGUUGGUUGAAUUGAAUAUGGAGAACAUCUCAUGUUUUGUUGCUACUACCUUGUAUGAUGUCAUGCAUCUCAUUGUGGUUUGUCACUGACUCGGAAAUAAGGUUUUAUUUUCUUACUUAAAAUUGUAAUUCGUUGUAUUAGCAAUGCUCCAUCGAUGCAACAGCUUUUGGUAUAUACCAAAUUCAAAAUGGCCUACUCUAAAAUUUACUCUGGAUUCAUUCACAUAUUAGUCAAUCUUGGAGUAAAUUUUUCCUUCAAUUGGUUGAGGUAAAUGCAUUGAUUCCUGGAAAACGAAAAGAGUCAAUACUUGAUUUCUUGGAUUUUGGGAGAUAAUUUGUUUGCUCCUCACAUCAAUUCACAAGUUCUCAACCUAAAUUGUUCUAAUUAAACUUUUGUCAGUUGCUAGUAACUCUGCUCCUACUGAACCAGUGUCAUACCUCCUCUCUCAUAUAAUGUAGUAACAAGAAGCAAUGAAACAAGAGCAAGAUACUAUCAUAUUUGCUGUAGUUUCAUCGAACCACUCACUCAGCCAUCGGGUGGUAAAGGUUACCGCACCAACACUGACCUGAUUGCUUCACUGCUCAUAUCUUAAUUUGUUGUGAUAAAAUGAAGAUCAUCUUCUAACACGAAAAGCAGAAACAUAAUAAUUUUUAAAAAAUGUAACAACAAAAUCUUGUUCAAAUUUUAUAAUUGAAGAUUAUUUAUAAUGGCAGAUUAAAAAGACUGAAUAUUACACAUAAACGAACAUAUCGAAUAAACUUCAUUUCACUCAAUUAAAUGACCACACCAAACUCUUACUGAACAGUCUUAAAAGAUUCAUGAACAUGCCUCAAGGUCUCUUCGUCUCGAUUCCACUCGGGCGUCGGUGCAUUAACAAAAUGUGCAUAAAGCUUAUUGUUAGCGCAAGUAACACUUAUCAAGCUAUGAGAACCAACACCAUCAAUCUCAUACACAUAAUAAAGCUGUCCUUUAUCAUCCUUCUUCUCCUCAGAAGCCACCUUAUCAGCGCUCGCUAGCAAGUCCUGCAAAUCCACAUCACUCAAAGCAAGAUUAUUCAACACAGCAUCUUUUGGCGCGAGCUGCCGAAACCCCGCCAAGAACGUCAAGUACUCUUUCUCAGUUCUCUUCUUAGGGUUAUAAAACUCACUGUCUGUUCCAUUUGUACCCUUCUCAACUUUCGACACCAAGCGCUCUUUCCAUCCAUCUGGGACAUCGUAAAUGUACUCAGCGGAGGCUUUCUUGUCGGAGUUGCCGCCGUAGCCGCCGUAGUUUGCUGCGCUGGCGGCUGUGCCGUAGUAGAUGUGGUAUGUUUGUGCAGGCUCAGCUAAUGAUGGCGAAGCUGUUAAGAGCGUGGUGGUUGCUAAAGUAGCCGUCAGUAGGGAAGUGAGAGAUUGUUUGGUGGGUGUGAAGAGAGAAGAGUGGGGUGGUUUUGUUGGGGUUUUGCAGGCGGUGGUUGUGGCGGACGAAGAGAUGACGGGGGACGACGGUGAGAAUAUCGCGGCCAUGGAAUGUGGGCUUAGAUUAGUGGAUGUGGUAGCUGCUGUUGGUUGAUUUUUAUGCGAUUUAUUUUAUUUAUUUAUUUAUUUUAAUUACCUGAUAAGAUGAUUAUUUUCCUUAUCCAAUCAAGCGGGGGUAAAGCUUCAGAUGUUAUGUUGUCGGCCCUUUAAAAGGCCUGCCUGCCUGCCUCGUCAUGAAUCUAGGGAUGAUAUUGGGCCAAGCCCGAGUCCGCCCAUAAUUUUUAAAAUUUUUUUAUUUUGAUAUUUAAAUAAUUUAAAUUUAAAAAAAAAAAGAACAUAACCUUCUCUAAUAUAUUACUUGUCAACAAAAUUCCUUUUUAUUACUUUUCAAGUUAGGAAGUCAUGCGUUGAAGGGGUUAAAUGAUAAUGUUAAGUUAUUUGAGAAUUGCGAUUCGUGAGAUUCAUUAAAUUUGUAUUAUGCCAAAUAAAAUGAAUGAAAUUGUUUUGAUUGGGUCACACGAGAAAUUUUUGACGUGCCAACUAAUUUAUUGAUCGGCGUGGUUAAUUGUCUUGGGUAAAGGUAAAGUAUGUAAUAUACGUGAUAUGAAUCUUUUAGAAAAGGAAUUUUAUUGCUGUUGUUAUUAGAUGAUGUCUCAUGAUGAUGAUGAUUAUUUAGCAUUAUUGCAACUAAAUUUCUUCCGUAUUUUUUUGUGUGGGGUUUCAACUCCAUAGCUAUCGUUUUCUACUUAAAAAUUUUACCAACAAGAUUAGCGGCCCCCCACAAUGCAGAGAUUCAUAUACCUUACAUAUAUAUUUAGUUUUCUGUUAUCAAAUUCAUGAUUGUGUUAUUUUUUUUGAAAAUUGUCCUUCAAAAUAAUUGUAUUCCACUUCCACAACAUAUUUUUUUCAGAUAAUUUUAUAGCAUUAUUACAUCUAAAUGGUACAUAAAGAUCAUAAGUUAGAUAUUACAUGUAAUCAAUAUAGUUACUCCUAAUGAGAAUCUAGCAAUGGUUACACUGGUCUGUAAAUGCAGCAACAAUACCCCCCAAGAAAAGGGGGAGAAAAAAAUAACUAAGAUUGUUUUUGUGUUUUGAGAGUGUGAGUUGUGUCACAUGUGUGAAUGUGCGAGGCGUGUGUGAUUGUUCUUUUUCUCCCUUAAGUUUUCAGGUCGGGACAAGUAAGGCCCAUACCCUGAUCUAAAUUAGUAUUUAAGCUAUAAAGCGACCCUUAACUCUUAAAUUAGGUCAAAAUAAGAAAAUUUUGGAUAAGAUCAAUCAGUCCAAAAAUCGAGUUUGAUCUUUUUGUCAUCCCUAAUCAUGAUUGCUUGAAAAGCAAAACUUUGUUAUAAUUUGGUCAGAAUUAUUUACAUGUAUUCAAGUUUUAGAUUAUUAUUUAUUUAUUUAUUAACACAAAUUAUCACUGCUCAGUACAAGAUUAGAUUAUGAGAUAAUUUUAAUUCAAAUAGUUCCUACACUAUGAAUAUCCAUUUUUGAGGGCUUUGAUUUUUUAACAACUUUCUUUAAGGAUAAUAGAGACUAAAAAAUAAAUUAGAUCUCAUUUCAAUAUUUCUGAGAGGUACAUGUACCAUAUUAAAAAAAAAUUGAAUAAGAGAUAAAAUGAGUCCCUAGCAUUGGGGCUAUAAACCCAAAAAUAGUACCUAUGAGUAAUCCAAUUCUCUUCUCAUAUACAUUUAUAUCUACCUGAGGUCCUGAGCUAAGACACGCUUCAUUCACAUGCACAUAUAUAUUAAAUUGCGUCAUAACAAACAUACCCAAAUAAUUUGUCAACAAAAUUGUUAUGAUAUAUAAUUUUAAAAAAUUAGCUUCAACCAAUGAGAAGUAUAAUUUUAAAAAAUUAGCUUCAACCAAUGAGAAUACUUCUCAAGUCCCAAAUUUGGUAAUACCAAAAUUCUGAAAUUCAUUCCGACCCUCACCGAAAACAAUAAUAAAUUUUGGCAUAAUUGCAAUAGAUAGGGGGCAGGGGCAAUAAUGUACUUGCAGUCCCAAAAAGACACAUCGACCGCCAAAAACCCUAGGGAUAGGGAGCGGGUACUCUCUUGUUUCUAACAUGAAUCAAUGAUGGAAAUUCACGUGCCCCCUUCAUUGUCGCUUCAAUUUCUCUCUCCCCAUUUUAGCUUUCCAUUAAAACAAUCAAUCAAUUGAAUGAUUUUAAGUUUCUAGGGUUUCAAUUGAUUCAUCGGAAGCAAAUAAAAAGGACUCGUUUCGAACACUUUAAUUUAUUUGCGUCUUUCACAAAUUCAAGAACGAAACGACAUGUCCAAGAGGUGAUCUUCUUCUUCAAUUCCUUUCAGUUUUGUUUAAUAUUGCUUUUAGAUCGUAGUUUCUGUUUAGCUAAUCUAAAAUUUAUUGCCUUUUUAUGCUUGGUUGCUGCGAAAAUAUACGCGUUUGAAGAAUGUUAUAAUUUAGCUAUUACUGAUUUAUGAAUUGACUUUGUAGCUAUUAAUGAUCUCAUUGCAUUAGGUAUCUGCCCCUUGUGGUCUUGCUUAUUUCUUGGUAUAAGGUACUGUUAUUGUCAUAAUAAUAUCUUGUGGCUCUUCGAUUCUUUCAGGGUCCUUUGCAAGUUCUUUGCUCAUGGAGCAUGUCUGAAAGGCGAGCAUUGUGAAUUUUCACAUGAUUGGAAGGAUCCACCAAAUAAUGUAAAAGUCUCUUGUUCUAUCACUUUUUUCACUUGGUUAUUGACGUUUGUUUAACUGAUUGCUUUUUUAAUCCAAAAAUUGUUUCUUAUGGUUUGUUAAUUGUUAUCUUAGAUAUGCACUUAUUAUCAGAAAGGGUUCUGCUCUUAUGCUAGUCGGUGCAGAUAUGAGCAUGUCAAACCUUCUCGGUCAGAGUCGGCUGCUUCAUCUUCCUCAUCAGUUUCUCAUCCUUCAAGAGCUACAUCAAGUGGGAUAACUAAAGUUCCAGGUGUCAUGCCAGAGCUAUCUGCACUGAGUAGACCUUUUCUUCCUCCUAAUAAGACAGCAUGGAAUCCGGAGUCUGUGUGCAAUGAUUCUUUAGAGAAUGAUGAGGUUGACGAGCCCAGGAAUCUAAAACCUGCUGACCGUUCUAUCUGUUCAUUUGCUGCUGCUGGUAAUUGUCCUCGUGGGGAAAAAUGUCCUCAUAUUCAUGGAGACACAUGCCCAACUUGUGGGAAGCAAUGCUUGCAUCCUUUCAGACCUGAAGAAAGAGAAGAGCAUAUGAAAUCUUGUGAGAAAAAGCAAAAGCACCUUGAAGCUCUAAGACGUAGCCAAGAAAUUGAAUGCAGUGUGUGUUUGGAUCGUGUAUUAUCAAAGCCUACGGCAGCUGAACGAAAAUUUGGGUUGCUAUCUGAAUGUGAUCAUCCAUUCUGUAUAUCCUGUAUCAGGAAUUGGCGUAGUAGUUCUCCAACCUCUGGAAUGGAUGUCAAUACUGCACUGAGGGCUUGUCCAAUUUGCCGGAAGCUAUCAUAUUUUGUAAUUCCAAGUGUCAUUUGGUAUUACACACCAGAAGAAAAACAGGAAAUUAUUGAUAGCUACAAGUCGAAACUCAAGUAAUUCUGGAAUCUAUUGACCCAUUGCUCAUCAUUGUUUUCUAAUUUAUUGUUAUGCAUUUUACACGAUUUUAGACAAUUUUUUUAAAAUUUUACAGCAGGGCAGUUUACAUAAUUAUAGACUUGAGGUGCUUUUCUUUUAGUCAUGGCUUUGGACAUAACCUUUUUUUUUUUUUGGUUUCGUUUCUUGCAGGUCAAUCGAUUGCAAGCACUUUAACUUUGGUAAUGGCAACUGCCCAUUUGGAACUAGUUGUUUCUACAAGGUAACUUAACUGUCAAUAUCAGUUGCAGCUAUGUAGUUAUUUAUUUUUACCCUUUUACCCCUUAGUAGUGUGAAGCUGGUUAUAAAUGCUUGUUGAAGGCAUGAAAUUUUGCAAGUUCUUUAUUAUUGCUAUGCUGUUUUCCUCCUCUUUUAUGUUCAAUGAGUGUCAAUUGGAUGUCUUUUUCGGUGCUUUAAUUUUUCUUUUUUUUUCCCCCCUGAUCAAAGAUCAGGGAAAUAAUGUUUUCGAAAUCUGUAUCAUGUGCUGUAGGUGAAUGCUAUGGUAGGGUUUUAGUCAUUUGGAUGAUCAUUUUGAACUCAACAACUGGGCUUUUGAGCCAAUAAAGCAUUUGUAUCAGUGAACAUGAGUUCAGCCCAUGACCUCAAUUUGGGAGUUCAGUGUGAAAACUUAUUUUGAAACAGGAGUUCUGGUCCCAGCUAUGUAUGGGAGUAACAUUGCUGUUGGAGAGUGGGAAAUGUCUAUAUACUGUAUGUCAGAUCCAUAUCCAUUUCCACGUCUGCUAUAUAAUAAGGGUGUGUUGUUAUCUUUUCAUGUGGCUUUAAAGAUCUUGUCUUGUGCUAUGUUUGUUUUGUUAUAAUUCAUGUCCAUGCGAAAUCUGUCAAGGUCAGUUAUUUAGCUCUUCAACAAUUGGUACAACGUUGCCAUGUUAAGAUUUGAAUUGGCCAAAAGAGCAUGAAAAUGAAAGAUGGGACUGAAAUGGAGCAAGUCUGUUACUCUUGAUUAGUUAUGGUAAUGUAGAAGGUGGAUGUUGGUAAUCUUAAGAAUUUUCUUGGAGUUAAAAGGCAACAAUAGUUUGCAGUGCUUUGGAGAAAGUGUUAUUACAAUAAUCAAAUUGAAAUACAUUUUAAAAUAUGUUGAAUCUCAUUGUUGAGGGUAGUGAAAUUCGUACCACCCUUAUGUCUGUGCCGCCAUCUCUCCCUCUCUUCUUGAGUUAUUGUAGUAAUCAGUUUAUGUUGCAUUUUUUUUUUCCUUGUAAUGAUUUUCAUUGAUAGUUGUAGAAUACGUGUAGAGCAUAAAUGUGCUGUUUGUUUUAUCAGUCGCAUCUAUUUGCUGCUGUUCCUUGAGGUUCUGUUGAAAUGGAUCACCUGAGUAAUGACUUCUCUGUUCCAAGUGUUGUGCGCCAUAUGUUCUUCCUUUUUUUUUUUCAUUUAUUUAUUUUCAUAGCUACUAGUAGCAGAGAACGUUGGCUUUAUGUCUCCAUUAAUAGAUAUAAUGUUGUGUUGUGUUCCAGCAUAUGGUCAAGCCUGGUUCUUACAUGUGGAAAUAUCACAGGCCACCUCCACGCAGGCCACCUCCAUUCAGGCCACCUCCAUCAAGAUCCAAUGUUGUGGAUAUGGAUUCAUUUAUUGAUGCGUUCGGGGACUUACUUGGGGAAGAUGAACCUGAUUUUUUUGAUGCUGAAAAUGAAGUUAGAAUGGCUUUGGAUGUGGAGAUGGCUUUGUUAUUAACGCAACUAGAUUUUGACUCAAGUGACUCGAGUGAUUAUGAGAGUUAUUUAGAUUAAGUUAUUAGAACUCGCUAUGAUAUCUCUAGUCCAUUCUGUGUUGGACAUUUGAGUUGUCGUUCAUCUUGGUGUUUUGAUAGUCCACUACAUUUUGCAUCAUGGAAUAAGAUGAAGCUUUUGGUUUGUUUCCUUUGAAUAUAUAAUGAAUUCUAGUUUAUUAUGGUUUGGAUUUCUCUCUCUAGUGGAAUUUAGUAGUAAGUUGAUGUUGGCAUUGUCUUGCCUGGAAAUUAUGUGUAUGAUUUUCUGACGCCUGUUGCUAACCAUUGAUUACUAUUCAUCUGUGAAGUUUUGGCUGUUAUUUGGUUGUGUUUAUUGACAUUCCAUCUUUGCAGCAUGCCUAUACAGAUGGUCGUUUGGAGGAAGUUGUUCUGCGUCACCUUGGGUCAGACGAUGGAAGCACUGUGAUAGCUAAAGAUAUCAGGUUCACUAAUUUAUCUCAAUUAACAGUUACUCUGGUUUAAAAGCUCAUUUUUCUUUUAUCUUUUUUGAAAUAUAUUUUCCUACUAAAUUUUUUCAGGUUGUCAGAGUUCCUUACUAAUAUGCACAUAAGGUGAAAAGAGUUGUUAAAGCAUUCCAGCGUAAGUUAUCAAGAAAUGAAUCCUCUUUUGUGUUUUCAACAACUAAUUAAGUGCAGUGGCAUCCUAGGCAUUUGGUAAUCAACAAUGGCAUUGACUACGGUCCAUCUAGAGAUAUCACUUACUCAUUUAAUUUAACAUUUAUGAGAAGUCUCCAGUUAUAGCAACCUGUCAUAUGCAUAGUUAUGGCUUGCUGACACCCUUUCUUCAUGUAUGCAGGAUAUCUAAUAAUGUCAAGAUAUAUUAGCAACAUUGAUGUGGAAGUCGUCCUACAUAGUCAGUGUCAUGCUCUUGUAAUCUUUUGAGGUAAGGUGCAGUUAUCUGAUAUUCUAUGGCUUUUUAACUUCUGGUAACACAAUCAUGAUAUUCUAUGUGUUCAAUUGUGGAGAUUGAAAGAAUCAGUUUUGAUGAAACUGUAUUUGGAAAGCAUUUAGAUUAACAAAAACUUGUUCAAUUAUGUAUGCCCUGCAAUUUCAUUCUUGUGAUUCUUGGAAUUCAGAAUAUUUGUGAUUGUUGACAAUUUGCACUCUCUAUUAGGUGUAUACUGAAGCAAUAACUGUUAUGGAUGCAUGUACAUUGUUUAUCACAUUCUCUGCUCUGUUCAGCUCGUGUAUGGUGCCAAAUGCAGGAUUGCUGGCCAGUUGCCUGAGGGGACCUUCAUGUGGAAAGCUUGAGCAUGCUGGAUUGUAUAACAAACUGCAGAUUAUAUGACCUUGAAUUACAUAAUAAUAGAAAAAACUGAUGGAUGGGUGAAUUUAUUCGAAUUUGAAAUAACAGAUGUGUCAGUUGCAGUGUUUCUUACCCACUUGGCUUCUUGUCCCCAAAAGUGAGAAAUUAGAGACUGUCUGCUUUCAGUAUUUGAUUGUUACAGUAAUAGAAUGUAAAUGCAUGGAGUGACGAAAUACUUUCUGGAGUCGUCAUUCAUUUUGCAGAGUGUUGUAUGCAAGUUUGAAAUCUAUAUGGAACUACACAAAAGCUUCUACUUGAAUUUUGUGUUCUUGUUUCAAAGCAUAUGUUAAAGAUUACACUGUUUUGCGCAUGCAAGGGAAAAAUUACACAAUUGUUUUGGCGUUUAUCAUUGGAAGUGGCUCGCUCGGUGACUGAAUUUUACAAUUUUCUUGAUGUCUGUGUUACCUCGAUGGAUAAUACAGGAAAAAUAAAUAUAUUCCUAAUUCCAUCAGAAAAAAUAAAAUAAAAAGAAUUUCUGCCGGUUGAAAAAGUAUUUUUCCGUUCACAUUAAAUUUUCGACCUUUCUUUGUCCGCUAGGAGAAACAACAAAAAAGGGGGAAAAAAAAGAAUAUUCUUCCAAAUGAUUAUUCUGUUUAAUAACAAGAGAUUUUUAAUAAACCAAUAAAAAAGAAAUUAAUAAAAUUCAAUUUGCUUUUUCCAAUUUCUUGUCCCACCACCACAAGGACAUAAAGAGGAGUUGAAUGAAAUGGAGUAAGAAUUUGACGAGUUCCUACACAUAUAUGUGUAUAUGUACACACAUGUCAUAUACGGUUUUGCUCAAACUGCAGGCGUGCAAUUUUUCUUGUUCAUUGAUUCAAAUUUCAGUUUCACUUCUUCAGCUCAUAUGUGAGCGCACAAACAGGAUUUGGAAGUUACCAACUUGUUUUUUUUUUUUUUUUGGGCCCCCUAAUUUGGUACAAUUCAACCGGUAUUUUACAAUUAAAAUUUGUAUUUAACCCUUACCAAAAAAAUAUAAUAAUAAAUUUUAGACGCAAUAAUGAGUUAGACAUGUCCUCUACUCUUCGUAAUUUUCUGUCAUAUGUCUAUGUAAAAUAUUAUUAUACGAUUGAGAUUUAAUUAAUUCUAUUUCCGUCUAAUAACUACCAAUUCUAUAUUUAUAAAAGGUUAGCAAAAAAGAACAAUUCAAUUUUAAUAAUAAUUCUCCUGAUUUUAAUCAGAGAAAAUAACAGGAUGAAAAAUUAAAACCCCUUUUUAAUUAAUUUAUCUUCAAUUUAUUAAAUAAUUAAUCAUCAACUUGUGGCUGCGGUGUUUGUAAACCCAAUUGCUUCUAAUAAAUCUCUGAUCUGCACUUAAAUAAUUCAACAACAUUUUUAUGAAGCCAAGUCCCAUUCACACCACAUGAAACUCCCAUAAGAAGUCAAGAACAAAGAGAAAGGAUCAGAGGAUAAACAAAUUAUAUAUAAAAUAAUAUAAAAUCUCUUUUAUUAUUCAACCGUAUAUAACAAAUAUGUAAGGAUGGCUAUAUACAAUAUAGUAUAACAACAACGAAUAAUAAUCAAUAGUGAAUACAAAUAAUAUUAGCCCCAAAAUCUCAAUAAUAAUAAUAAUAACAGCCCAUCAUCAACAAAAAGAAAAAGAAGAAGAAGAAGAAAAAAGCGAGUGUCUCAAAAACAGAGAGUACAAAAGGAGCCCGAAAAACAAUAUAAUGAAUAGAAACUCAAUGGUUGAGGAAAGCAAGAGCAGACAAGAAGAAAGAAGAGCAAAUGAGGGCCCCAGAAAGCCCCGUAGAAUAAGAAGCAGCUCCCUUGUCCAUGGAUGGUGCCGGCGCAGGUGCCGGUUCUUGAGCAGAAACAACAGCCACAGCAUAAACCGCCAUCACAAAAAUCAAAGCAACUCUAUUAAUCUUCUUCAUUGCUGCCAUUUUUAUGAAAUGCGAGGGGAAGAUGGGAAGGGUCUGGGCUUUUGCUUAGCGAGAUCGUUGAAGACGUCGAUGAUAAUCAACACGAUGAGUGAGAGGAAGCG